rnacentral:rRNA from 1 species
ACGUAGGGAGCGAGCGUUGUCCGGAUUUACUGGGUGUAAAGGGUGCGUAGGCGGCCGAGCAAGUCAGUUGUGAAAACUAUGGGCUUAACCCAUAACGUGCAAUUGAAACUGUCCGGCUUGAGUGAAGUAGAGGUAGGCGGAAUUCCCGGUGUAGCGGUGAAAUGCGUAGAGAUCGGGAGGAACACCAGUGGCGAAGGCGGCCUACUGGGCUUUAACUGACGCUGAGGCACGAAAGCAUGGGUAGCAAACAG